rnacentral:rRNA from 1 species
UACGUAGGGUGCAAGCGUUAAUCGGAAUUACUGGGCGUAAAGCGUGCGCAGGCGGUUUUGUAAGUCUGUCGUGAAAUCCCCGGGCUUAACCUGGGAAUUGCGAUGGAGACUGCAAGGCUAGAAUCUGGCAGAGGGGGGUAGAAUUCCACGUGUAGCAGUGAAAUGCGUAGAGAUGUGGAGGAACACCGAUGGCGAAGGCAGCCCCCUGGGCUAACACUGACGCUCAUGCACGAAAGCGUGGGGAGCAAACAGG